rnacentral:rRNA from 1 species
GACGAACGCUGGCGGCGCGCUUAACACAUGCAAGUCGAGCGAAGCGGCGGACGGGUGAGUAACACGUGAGUAACCUGCCUGAGACAUUGGGAUAGCCUCGGGAAACCGGGAUUAAUACCAAAUGGUCUAAGAUGGACUCGCGUCCCAUUAGCUAGUUGGUGGGUAACGGCCCACCAAGGCGACGAUGGGUAGCCGGCCUGAGCGGGCGGCCGGCCACAUUGGUACGGAGAUACGGCCCAAACUCUACGGGAGGCAGCCGUGGGGAAUAUUGCCCAAUGGGGGAAACCCUGAUGCAGCAACUCCGCGUGCGGGAUGACGGCCUUCGGGUUGUAAACCGCUUUCAGCCAUGACGCGGUAGUGGCAGAAGAAGCACCGGCUAACUACGUGCCAGCAGCCGCGGUAAUUC